rnacentral:rRNA from 1 species
UACAGAGACUGCAAGCGUUAUUCGGAUUCACUGGGCGUAAAGGGUGCGCAGGCGGCCGUGUGUGUCAGGUGUGAAAGCCCGAGGCUUAACCUCGGAAUUGCGCCUGAAACUACAUGGCUAGAGUACUGGAGAGGGUAGCGGAAUUCAUGGUGUAGCAGUGAAAUGCGUAGAUAUCAUGAGGAACACCAGAGGCGAAGGCGGCUACCUGGACAGUUACUGACGCUCAGGCACGAAAGCGUGGGGAGCAAAAGGG